AGAGUUAAACAGUGCGUGAAAUUGUUGAAAGGGAAACGUUUGGCACCAGUCAUGCGUCUAGGAAAUCAGUCUAUCGAUGUGGGGAGUGGUAAGAGUUUGGACCGCAAGGCCAGCUUUUGCUGCAUUCCUAUUUGGAUGGAUGCACUUUUCUAGAUGCAGGUCAACAUCAGUUUCGCUUGCCGGACAAAACUCUUGGGAAUGUGGCAGCUUUGGCUGUGUUAUAGCCCUGGAGCGAUACGGUGGGUGGGACUGAGGCUUGCAGUGUGUGCUUUCGGGCAAGGCUGACCGGGUGCUAUGGGAAGGUUCGGAGUACAAUGCAUGCAUUUUGCUCCGUGUCCGUCUUGUACUCGCUUGAAUCAGCUCUUCCACACUUAGGAUGUUGACAUAAUGGUUUUAAACGACC
rnacentral:rRNA from 1 species